AAAGGGAGACCUAAUUCAGGUAGGAGACGAAAAAAAAGUAGUCGCUACCAAGAAUCAAUCCCAAAAGGUCGGAACGAGGUAUGUGGCUUUCAAACUAGGUUCUGGGUUCAUAAAAGACCUGAAUCAGGAACAAGGGCUAUUAGCUCAGGUGGUUAGAGCGCACCCCUGAUAAGGGUGAGGUCCCUGGUUCGAGUCCAGGAUGGCCCACCUGCACAGGUGGCAAAAACAAGAGAAGCUCCGAAUCAGCACCUUAUCUUACUUAUAUAGUAAGAGAGAAUGCUGGCUCUGAGUUCAGAGUCCAGAGGAACCUUGAAAACUGCAUAGAGCUAGGUGAAAAAGCCAAAAAAGAAGACCGCAAG
rnacentral:tRNA from 1 species